GUGUGUGUGACUGUGACUGCCUGCCUGUGUGUUACUGUUUGCCUGUUCAUUUGUCUGCCUGGGUGUGUGUGUGUGACUGCCUGUCUGUGUAUGUGUGUUACUGCCUGCCUGUGUAUGUGUGUGUGACUGUCUGUCUGUGCGACUGCCUGCAUGUGUGUUUGUGACUGCCUGCCUGUGUGUGUGACUGUCUGUCUGUGUGACUGCCUCCCUGUAUGUGUGACUAUCUGCCUGUGUGCGUGUGACUGUGUCUGUGUGUGUGACC